ACCUGGCUGGCUCAGUCGGUAGAGCAUGUGACUCUUGAUCUUGGGGUUGCAGGUUCGAGCCCCACGUUGGGUG
rnacentral:tRNA from 1 species